GUGGACUCAGCGCUGUCUACCUUCAUGUGGAGAAAGAAGCUGCUGCUGCUGCGCUCUUCGACUCCCCUCUCCUCCUCAUCCGUCCUCUCCGGAUCGGGUCUUUCGUGCUAGGGAUUCGCUUUCCUGGAGUCUCGGUCCUCCAUGUACGAUAACCUCUACCGUCAUGGCUUCGAAGACUCGGAGGCGGGCUCGGCUGAUUCCUACAGCAUGUUCCAAAUUAUUAUGCAAAUUGGAUUAAAGUUUGGCAAAGAUUAUUAUUUUUUUCUUUCUCAAUUAAACUCAUGGAUGAUAUUGUGUCUCAGGGCUCUUUGGAUCACUGAAAUCAAUCUCAGAUCAAUCCGAGACAACUAGUUUGUCUGGUGAGCUCAAUUCAAGGAGAACUACUUAAGGCUGUUCCACAUUAUUCAGCAGGCCACAGGUUUCAAGCAACAUGGGCAAGAGAAAGGAUCUCUCUGCUGCCGAAAAGCGUCAGAUAGUGCAAUGCCUCGGGCAAGGUAUGAAAACACUGGACGUGUCGCGAAGACUUAAGCGCGAUCAUCGCACCGUGAAGAGGUUUGUGGCCGACUCGGAGCACAGACGGGCUCGCGCAGACAAAGGCAGGAUGAGGAAGGUCUCUGCCAGGCAAGUUCGCCGGAUUAAGAAAGCAGCUGCCAGAAUGCCCUCGCAAAGCAGCAAGCAGUUAUUUGAAGCUGCUGGUGCCUCCGGAGUCCCGCGGACCUCGAGGUGUCGGAUCCUCGAAAGGCUCGCGGUGGUGCGUAAGCCUGCGAUUCGUCCCCUGACCAGCGCUCACAAGCAAGGGCGUAAAUCCCGUCUCGUUAUCGGGGCGGACCGCAAACAGGAAGGUCCCUUAAGACCAAUUUUGGGGGCGUCGGCAAAGUCAGAGUGAAAUGUGACGCAAAACGUGGUUCAGAAGGUUUUGAAAUCACAUUGAAGUUGCAGGACUAAAAAUGACUAGUAAUGCACAUCAAAUGUGUUUUUCUGAGUAACGCAACCUGUUGAGAAGUAAAGCUAAAAUUCAAAUGUUGCUUCAAUACGAGUUUUGUUCAGUCUGACUGAUCUAAUCUCUUCUGCACCUUCAGAAAACUUUUAAGGUUCGAAAUUAAAAUGCUUAGAGAAACUGCUCUGAAUAAAAUUCCUCAUAAACAUUGAUGUAUUGUAAUGGCUCCCAAUACAAGUUAUGGGCUAUUUAAAUUACAUUAAAUAUCUGGGGAAUAUCAUAACUUAAAUGUAACAUUUAAAGCACCAGGUUUUAUAUAGGAAAAUAUUCCGAUUUUAUUUUGUGGUUUUAAAGGCUCUACAAUGAAGACGGUGAGAAAUAAAGGCAGAACUUUUAGUUUUUUCUAUCUGUUCUCGGCUCCCACGCACAGAGCCGGGUCCACUUCCUCAGCCCCUCCCUCCGGUUUCAAACUCUUCCAAUUAACUAAAAGUCAAAGAGCUAAUCAUGAAUGAGACAUAUGCUGCCUUUCACAAAAAAGCUUAAUUUAGUAGAUAAACAGUGGAUUUUGAGUUUUUUUAUUUUUGUUUUUGAAGGAUAUACUGUUAUCAUUGGGAGGUUUGUCCAGUAAAAUUCAAUUUAUACUCGUAACAGGAGAUGACUUUUAUUACACGGGCUGGUUUGCAUCGACCAUUUAGGAAAAUCAGGGGAAAACAUCAUUUGCAUAAUAAUUUGGAACAUGGUGCACACAAGCCGACCGUCUGACUCAGAUGUGUCCCUGGAGGAGGAGAAGGAGGGCGGCCGGCAGGAGAGGGAGCAGCAGGCCACCGUUCAGCUCGAGAGGGCAAAGAGUAAAGCAGUGACAUUUGCGGUGAGAACCAACGUCGGCUACUGCGGAGCGCUGGAAGAGGACGUUCCUGUCCCGGGCACCGCCGAUGGAGGAGGACGACCAAGACCUCUACCAAGACUCUUACAAGCCUCACCACAAUCGCGGAUCCCCCAGAGGCUACAGCCAGGACUCUUCCAGGCAGAGGCUGUGAGCCGAUACUUAGGCGUGUCGCGAUAAACGAUAAAUCAAUUAAUCGCACGAUAAAUUAAAACUAUCGACCUCAUUUCAAUUAUCGGCUAUAUAAUUUCUUCCUGCCUUUUUCUCUUACUGUGAUGAUCAAAGAACACCUGAGGUUAUGAAUGCUUGUGCUUCAGAACACCAGUUCAUAUCCAACCAACUCUUCAAAACUCAGCACUGUUUCAGCACACGAAUUUUCACGAUGGCGGAAAUGCUAGUCGGCUUGUGUCUUCCUCUUGGUUUUGGAAUCGGUUAUGUUGUUACAACCGGAAUGAGGAAAUUGUGUGAUCAACUAUUUCAUGGAAGAGAAGAUGAAAAAGGUACCUCUCAGGAAAAGAACACUCCAUCUGGGUACGAUGUUUUUUGACGAUUUUUUCUUCAACCCAUCCUCGACUGUGAAGCAAGUUGAGGAUGUGACCUUGCUUCACAGGUUAUGAUGAUUUUGAUUCUUUUCUUUUUGAUCCUUCUUAGCUAACGACUUUUUUUAUUCAUUUUUUUUCUGAUCUGUCCUCGACAGAGAAGCAAACCUCCCCACCUGGGGAGGUUUGCAGUAGUGAUGAAUUUGAUCCUCUUCGUUUCGAUCCUUCCCCGUCUGGGGAAGUUUGCUCGUCUGGAAACAUUGUCAUCGAUUCUCUUUCUUUCAAUCCUUCCCCUGCUGGGGAAGUUUUCCCUGAAGCAUCGACUGUCAAGACAGAAGAUGCAAGCUUGGUUCUACAGAAGACGACAUCUGGUGACAGUAUCGAUGAAGAAAAUACAAUUUCAUCACAAAAUCUUUCUACAACAACGGAUAUCUUUCUUGAGGAAAGAGAAAAUGUAUUUUUUGUCCUAAAACGCAACAUAUGGGAGCCAUUGGUGUCAAUAUUAUUUUAUUUAUGUUUAUUUGGCAUUCCCUAUCUUAUUGUCUAUCAUGGUGGUUUUUUCUUUGGUCUUUUUCUUUUUAUUUGUUGUGUCCUUUGUUUUUAUGUCAAGGUCUUUGUGAAUGAAGGUGUUACAUUUUCUAAUUAUACACAAAAUGUUUUUUAUAUUCUUAAACACUACAUAUGGAAGCCAUUGUUUUUAAUAUUAUUUUAUUUGGGUAUAUUUGGCACUCCCUGACUUAUUGUAUACUAUGAUGUUUUUUCUUUUGUCUUUUUCUUUUUUCUGUCCUUUGUUAUAAUAUGUUUCUUUGUGGAUGAAUUAAUUACAUUUUCUAAAUUAACAGAAAAUAAGUUUUAUCACCAAAAAGCUAUAUUUGGGAACCACUGUUGUUAAUAUUACUUUGUUUGCGCUCAUAUAGCACUCUUUGGGCUAUUUUGUACUAUGGUGUUGUUUUCUUUUUUGCUACUUUUUUUUAGUUUUAUCUCAAGAAAGUAUCACUUACAUAGUCCUAGGCAUCUACAUCACAAAAUCAACUCCAACAUUUGGAAGAAGGUGCACAAGUAGACCAUUGCCUUAUAACAGUCAAAUCAAAAAUGCAACUACAUUCCUUGAGAAAGAUUAUAAGGUAAGGAGUAAAGGAGAGUGUAAGAGAAGAAGUAGAGAAAACAAAACAAAAAAAACCUAAUAAAGUUAGAAAUGUAAACUGUCUGUAUACUAGAUUGCCCUUCAGUAAUCAUCAGAGAAGAUGGGCACAUAGACUGCCUGAUGCAUUAGUUUACACUACACCACUUUUUGCCCCCAACGUCAAUCUUAGAACAUCCAACGUUCUAAGAUUGUCGCUUGUGAUGUGUGUUACAGUGGAUCAUCGUUGCCACUCCCAUCUAAAUCAGAGGUCUUCCCCAACUGGGAGCAUUAACACAGCCUGUGGAUUGUGACCGGUAGCCAAUCAGAAAGCACGGAUUCCCCUCCUUGCUUUCUGAGGGGAAACACGGAGGAGAAUCCCAAACAGCUGACACGGCGCCAGCUGACAUCGGAGAUGAUUAUUGGAAACAACAUGAAUGUUCAUUCAACAUUUUGUGCAAAGAAAAUAUAAAUAGAAACAAGGGGAGGAGUUGGAGUGAAAUUUCUACCGCCGUUGAUAAACCCAGUAACUUUUCAGCUGUUCUCUGUUAACGUGACCUAAAUAGGUUACAAUGAUUUUCUUCAGUCAGGACUGAUACUCGUCUGAACACAACCGCUGAGGCGUCAUGAUGAAUCAGUCAUGUGAACUGGAACUAUCUCUUAUGUAUGUGUAGAGCCUCAUGUCCCCUUUUGACCUUGGUUGUCGUUGCCAAAUGGACAUCUAUAAGCUAAUAUAAAUAUAAAACUACUGCCUUUGCUAUGACGUGAAUACGAGGGUGGACCUGUAGCACAAGAACUAUGUUUUAAACGAAGGGUGGAAGUGUAGCGUUUUGUUGUCUUACCCGUCUGGAUAAUUUUGGGUGUAUUACUUCAUAUACAGUGCCUUUCAAGAGUAUUCACAUGGUGGUGGCGGUAUAUACCUGUGGUGAUACAGGACUGGGGGAAAAAGAGAACUAUUGCAGUAUGCAGAAGGUGUGCUAGGUGUCUAGUGUUAAAAUGGUCCUGUCAAAGUCUGCGUCUAAAUCCAGCUGAGAUUUUUUCCAUGUAAUCUCACUGAGCUUCAACAGCCAAAAAUGUCAGCCUCCUGAUCUUGUACAUUCAUCUUACACAUUAUAAGCUGCAAUCAAAACUGAAAUGUAAACACAUGUAUCAUUCUGCUUUCCUUUCCAAUGAUCUGGUACUUUAUGUUGGGUUUCCACACAGCAUCUACUUGUAAAGCUUUAAAGAGUGAGACGGUAACAUGAAUGCUUUUGUAAGGCACUGUAGCUGUCGUGGAAUGAUGUGCAUUUAGUUUGUUUUAUUUUGUGUCUGAGCUUAGUAAGGCAUGAUUAUGAAAAUACAAGAGUGGAUUUUUAGUUUGUGACACACUGAGGGCUUCCAUGUGUAAAUAUUGUCAAAAAUGACAGGAGGGAAACCUAAAACUCAACUUUUUGUAAAUCUGAUGACAUUCCAUUGGUUUGAUUCAAGGGACUGCAUAUAACUCAGAUCAAGAUUUCUUUUUUUAAAGGUUUUAUAAUAAUUGUAAAAUGUUCACCGGGCAGAAGCUGAUCCUGACCGUCUUCUUUGUUUUCAGGUGAAACUUUUUACAUUAUUUUAACUUCCAUUAGAAAUUCUUGGAUAAAAAUGGAAAACUAAAGAAUAAAGGAAGGACUUUUCUAGACCCAUUAGACUCUAAUGGUGCUCGAUACAGAUCGCGAUCUACCGGUCACAGCCGCUGGAGUUUCUGAACGUUCAAUAAACGACAGACUUGGACUAAUUACCUCGUUCGUUUGCAGUAAACGUCACAACAAACGUCAUAUAGGACACAUAUAUUUGAUUAAAUUUUAACAAACAAAUGGCUUCUACCACAAUAAUUGUGUCAAAUUACAUUAAUUAUAUCCCAAGUUCAGAAGAUUUGCCUUUACCUCUGCAGAGCUCUUUUCUUCCUCCUGUCAGUCUGCAGUUUCGCAUAGUGACGUCAUCAAACCAAAUUUCAGAUAAUACCAUAACUGACUGACACCUGCUGGCCUCAGGUUUGCAACCAGCUUCUGACUGAGAAACCAGUAACCUGCUCCCAGUGAGGAAGAAACUGCAUUAGGUUUUCUAUCAUUUCUGAUAUAACUGAUGUACAGUAUAUUUGCAUAGAAAAUUAGUCAAUAGGGUUUAAUUUAUAAUUUGUAUGUCUUCAUGCCAUGAGGUAGAUCUCAGACGGCUGGUGAGAGAAAAAGUAGAUCUUGGUCUCAAAAAGUUUGAGCGACCCUGCAUUAGAGCUUUUGCUGGCCAGUGCUAACAGUUACAUGUAACUAUCUUUAUUAUUAAUUUCACUUCUGUUCGAUUGCUGCUUUUUGCUAAAUGUUGUGGGUUUUCUGGCAUUUAUUUAUUUAAAUGUGCACCUCCAAUAAACAUGGAAAAAACUGAGCAUAAUCUUACAGUGAUACACUCUUCUACCCUGUACUAUGACAUGCAACAGUUAUUUUAAUUCAAUGGGUCAUAAAUGAGUGUUGUUUUUAUUGUUGUUAUUUCCAGACAACAAAAUCUUUAGCACCAACAUAAAAAUAUGAAAACUAGUGAGAGAGAUUAGAAUGUAUGUGCGAAUUGUCAUUUUACAACUGUAUUGAAAUAAACUGCACUGUUGUAUGGA